GGCGGCAUAGCCAAGUGGUAAGGCAGAGGUCUGCAAAACCUCUAUCCCCCAGUUCGAAUCUGGGUGCCGCCU
rnacentral:tRNA from 2 species